rnacentral:rRNA from 1 species
GAGUUUGAUCUUGGCUCAGAGCGAACGCUGGCGGCAGGCCUAACACAUGCAAGUCGAGCGCCCAGCAAUGGGAGCGGCAGACGGGAUAGUAACACGUGGGAACGUACCUUUCAGUUCGGAACAACCCAGGGAAACUUGGGCUAAUACCGAAUACGCCCGUAAGGGGAAAGAUUUAUCGCUGAAAGAUCGGCCCGCGUCUGAUUAGCUAGUUGGUGGGGUAAUGGCCCACCAAGGCGACGAUCAGUAGCUGGUCUGAGAGGAUGAUCAGCAUCACUGGGACUGAGACACGGCCCAGACUCCUACGGGAGGCAGCAGUGGGGAAUAUUGGACAAUGGGCGCAAGCCUGAUCCAGCCAUGCCGCGUGGAUGAUGAAGGCCCUAGGGUUGUAAAGUCCUUUCGGCGGGGAAGAUAAUGACGGUACCCGCAGAAGAAGCCCCGGCUAACUUCGUGCCAGCCGCCGCAGU